rnacentral:rRNA from 1 species
UACGGAGGGUGCAAGCGUUGUUCGGAUUUACUGGGCGUAAAGCGCGCGCAGGCGGGUGGGCAAGUCGGAAGUGAAAUCCCAGGGCUCAACCCUGGGGCUGCUCCCGAAACUGUUCGCCUAGGGACUGGUAGAGGCUGGUAGAAUUCCCGGUGUAGCGGUGGAAUGCGUAGAGAUCGGGAAGAAUACCUGUGGCGAAGGCGGCCAGCUGGGCCAGGUCCGACGCUGAGGCGCGAAAGCGUGGGGAGCAAACAGG